UGGUUCUGGCAUCGAUGAAGAACGCAGCGAAAUGCGAUAAGUAAUGUGAAUUGCAGAAUUCAGUGAAUCAUCGAAUCUUUGAACGCACAUUGCGCCCUCUGGUAUUCCGGAGGGCAUGCCUGUUCGAGCGUCAUUUCAACCCUCAAGCCUCUUCUGGCUUGGUGCUGGGGCACUGCUCUGAGAGGAGCAGGCCCUGAAACCCAUCGGCGAGCCCGCGGGGACCCCGAGCGUAGUAGUUUUCAACCUCGCCCUGGAAGGUCCCUGCGGUGCCCUGCCGUUAAACCCCCAACUUCUGAAUUUUUGACCUCGGAUCAGGUAGGAAUACCCGCUGA
rnacentral:misc_RNA from 1 species